rnacentral:rRNA from 1 species
CGCAUCUGUGCAUGCAGCAUAUCAAUAAGCGGAGGAAAAGAAACUAACAAGGAUUCCCUUAGUAACGGCGAGUGAAGCGGGAAGAGCUCUAAUUUGAAAUCUUCAAGGUUUUACCUUGACGAAUUGUAGUUUAAAGAAGUGUUUUCUGUUGAAGUUUUGGUAAAAGUUCUUUGGAAUAGGACAUCAUAGAGGGUGAGAAUCCCGUAUUUGACCAUUAUUUUCAGCUGUGUGAUACACUUUCAAAGAGUCGGAUUGUUUGGGAAUGCAGUCCAAAAUGGGUGGUAAAUUUCAUCUAAAGCUAAAUAUUGGCGAGAGACCGAUAGCGAACAAGUACCGUGAGGGAAAGAUGAAAAGAACUUUGAAAAGAGAGUUAAACAGUACGUGAAAUUGUCAAAAGGGAAGCGUUUGACACCAGUGUUGUUUUCUCGAAAAUCAAUUAAAAAGAGUUUGAUUUUGUUGUGUAUUGACCUUAACAGCUUGCAUUUCAAUUUUCUUGCUUUUUUUAAUGCACUUUUCGUUUAACAAGUCAACAUCAGUUUCUUUUGUUGUAAAAAGGUCAUUGGAAGGUGGCUUUCUUUUCGGAGAAAGUGUUUAUAGCCUUUGACUCCUGCAAUCGGAGAGACUGAGGUCUGCAGCGUAGAUCCUUCGGGGUUAGAUACAUUUGUGCUAAGUUAUAGCUUUUUAUAGACAACUUGUUGACUAUGAUUAGUCUUGUAGCUUACUCGCUUAUGCUAUUUUACCUACGCUUAGGAUGUUGACACACGCGCGUGCUCG